UACCAGCACCCCGAGUGGUCGGGACGAUUAUUGGGCCUAAAGCAUCCGUAGCCGGUCAUGCAAGUCUUCCGUUAAAUCCAGCCGCUCAACGGUUGGGCUGCGGAGGAUACUACGUGGCUAGGAGGCGGGAGAGGCAAGCGGUACUCAGUGGGUAGGGGUAAAAUCCUUUGAUCCAUUGAAGACCACCAGUGGCGAAGGCGGCUUGCCAGAACGCGCUCGACGGUGAGGGAUGAAAGCUGGGGGAGCAAACAGG
rnacentral:rRNA from 1 species